rnacentral:tRNA from 1 species
UCCGGUGUAGCUCAGUGGUAGAGCGGCUCCCUGUUAAGGAGACGGUCGCAGGUUCGAAUCCUGCCACCGGAG